UUUAACCCUUUGAACGCUUUGCGUUACAAACAAAAACGUCACUCACACGCCAAGGUCCCGGGCGCAAGCGAGCUAAUGUAAACCUUACUUGAAAGUUUAAAGGUUACUUUGACAGCGUACGCCAUAACACCUAUAGUUGUCCAUGGCGCUGUGGGCACGACUAGUAACGACGUCUUUAGGUGUUCUUGGCGUUCAAAAGGUUAA